GACGAACGCUGGCGGCGUGCUUAACACAUGCAAGUCGAACGAAGUGGCGCACGGGGGAGUAUUACGUCGGUGACCUGCCCUCCUGUAGGGGAUAAGCCUCGGAAACGGGGUGUAAUACCGGAAAAAGGGGGAUGGUGUCGGGGCCUAUCAGCGUGUUGGUGGGGUGAUGGGCUACCAAGGCGGUGACUGGUUGCCGGCCUGAGAGGGUGACCGGCAACAGUGGUACGGAGCUACGGCCCAGAGUCUUACGGGAGGGAGAAGUGUGGGAUAUUGCAGAAUGGGUGAAAGCCUGAUGCAGCGACGACGAGUGGGGGAUGAAGGCUUUCGGGUUGUAAAACUCGUUCGCUAUCGAACGGGUAGGUGGAGAAGAAGCGCCGGCUAACUACGUGCCAGCAGCCGCGGUAAUUC
rnacentral:rRNA from 1 species